UCGCGAGGAGGUGGGAUGGAGGCGCCGCAGCGCUCUGUCGUCUGCUAUUUUCGUCCAAUCGCAGGACCGUAUCAAGAUAAAAAAACCAAAAAUAAUGUGAAUCAUGAAUGAUAGUGAUGAAUUCAUUAGAAUCUCGUUGUCGCGGAGCCAGAAUCAACGUGCAUUGGCUCUUACAAGAACGAGCUGAAAGUUGUGCCAGAAAUAGCAGGCCCUGGCAGUGUCACAAGAGACCUUGUCCGAUAGGUGGCAUGAAUAUGAAAUGACAUUCCGCGAGCAACCUUUCUACCGCAUCCCUUUAUUUAAACAGUACAUCAUUAAUAAACGCAAAUGUUCAA